AUGAACGCUGGCGGCGUGCCUAAUACAUGCAAGUCGAGCGAACAGAUAAGGAGCUUGCUCCUUUGAAGUUAGCGGCGGACGGGUGAGUAACACGUGGGUAACCUACCUAUAAGACUGGGAUAACUUCGGGAAACCGGAGCUAAUACCGGAUAACAUAUAGAACCGUAUGGUUCUAAAGUGAAAGAUGGUUUUGCUAUCACUUAUAGAUGGACCCGCGCCGUAUUAGCUAGUUGGUAAGGUAACGGCUUACCAAGGCGGCGAUACGUAGCCGACCUGAGAGGGUGGUGGGCCACACUGGAACUGAGACACGGUCCAGAGUCCUAGGAGAGGCAGAAGUAGGGAAUCUUCCGAACUGGGCGAAAGCCUGACGGAGCAACGCCGCGUGAGUGAUGAAGGGUUUCGGCUCGUAAAACUCUGUUAUUAGGGAAGAACAAAUGUGUAAGUAACUGUGCACAUCUUGACGGUACCUGAUCAGAAAGCCACGGCUAACUACGUG
rnacentral:rRNA from 1 species